rnacentral:misc_RNA from 1 species
ACGUGUUCGUUCGGCCGUUCGGGUCGGCCCUGCACCGACGGAGACGUCGUGCUGCGGGCUCCCGGACGCGCCUUCCAAACCAAACCCCUGUGAACCUUUGGGAGGGUAGAGCCUUCAUCGGCGAAGCCGUCCCCUUUACAAACUCUGUAUCUCAUAGAAUGACUGCGGACAUCGUCUGCCUAAACACAUAA